rnacentral:rRNA from 1 species
AAUUUAUGAUUAAACCUUAAUAAAUAAUUUAUCCGCCAACCAGCUCUAAAAAAGAGC